rnacentral:rRNA from 1 species
CAGCCGCCGCGGGAAUACGAAGGGUGCAAGCGUUAAUCGGAAUUACUGGGCGUAAAGCGUGCGUAGGCGGUUUGUUAAGUCUGCUGUGAAAUCCCCGGGCUCAACCUGGGAAUGGCAGUGGAUACUGGCAAGCUAGAGUGUGUCAGAGGAUGGUGGAAUUCCCGGUGUAGCGGUGAAAUGCGUAGAGAUCUGGAGGAAUACCGAUGGCGAAGGCAGCCAUCUGGCCUAAUACUGACGCUGAGGUACGAAAGCAUGGGGAGCAAACAGGAUUAGAGACCCCCGUAGUCCCUGUCUCUUAUAC